rnacentral:rRNA from 1 species
UGGGGAAUAUUGGACAAUGGGCGAAAGCCUGAUCCAGCCAUGCCGCGUGUGUGAAGAAGGCCUUCGGGUCGUAAAGCACUUUAAGUUGGGAGGAAGGGCUCAUAGCGAAUACCUGUGAGUUUUGACGUUACCAACAGAAUAAGCACCGGCUAACUUCGUGCCAGCAGCCGCGGUAAUACGAAGGGUGCAAGCGUUAAUCGGAAUUACUGGGCGUAAAGCGCGCGUAGGUGGCUUGAUAAGUUGGAUGUGAAAUCCCCGGGCUCAACCUGGGAACUGCAUCCAAAACUGUCUGGCUAGAGUGCGGUAGAGGGUAGUGGAAUUUCCAGUGUAGCGGUGAAAUGCGUAGAUAUUGGAAGGAACACCAGUGGCGAAGGCGACUACCUGGACUGACACUGACACUGAGGUGCGAAAGCGUGGGGAGCAAACA